rnacentral:rRNA from 1 species
GCUCUCUGUUUAUAUAAAUAUAGGGAGUCGAGCCUGCCCAGUGAAUUUUUAAACGGCCGCGGUACUCUGACCGUGCAAAGGUAGCAUAAUCAUUUGCCUUAUAAUUGAAGGCUAGUAUGAAUGGUUUAACGAGAGCAACACUGUCUCCUUUUUAUUUUCAAGAACUUAACUUUUAGGUGAAGAGGCCUAAAUUCUAUUGAAGGACAAGAAGACCCUAUCGAGCUUAAAAGACAUUAUAGAGGUUUAUAUAUUUGUAAAUAAAUUUUCUAUUAAGCUUUUUAGUUGGGGCGACUAAGGAACAAAAAAAGCUUCUUGCUAAUAACAAACAGUCAUGUUUAGAUCCGAAAAUAAUCGAUCAAAGAAAUUAGUUACCGUAGGGAUAACAGCAUAAUCUCUCUUGAGAGACCUAAUCGAAAGAGGGGGUUGUGACCUCGAUGUUGGACUAGAAUAUCCUAAAGAUGCAGAAGUCUUUGAGGGUCGGUCUGUUCGACCGUUAAAAUUCU